UACGUAGGGUGCGAGCGUUGUCCGGAAUUAUUGGGCGUAAAGGGCUCGUAGGCGGUUUGUCGCGUCGGGAGUGAAACCAGGUGCUUAACACCUGGCUUGCUUUCGAUACGGGCAGACUAGAGGUAUGCAGGGGAGAACGGAAUUCCUGGUGUAGCGGUGGAAUGCGCAGAUAUCAGGAAGAACACCCGUGGCGAAGGCGGCUCUCUGGAACGCAACUGACGCUGAGACGCGAAAGCGUGGGGAGCAAACAGG
rnacentral:rRNA from 1 species